rnacentral:rRNA from 1 species
CCUACGGGAGGCAGCAGUGGGGAAUAUUGGGCAAUGGAGGAAACUCUGACCCAGCAACGCCGCGUGAAUGAUGAAGGUCUUCGGAUUGUAAAGUUCUUUUCUAAGGGAAGAAGAAAGUGACGGUACCUUAGGAAUAAGCCUCGGCUAACUACGUGCCAGCAGCCGCGGUAAUACGUAGGAGGCAAGCGUUAUCCGGAAUGACUGGGCGUAAAGGGUGCGUAGGUGGUUCAGCAAGUUAGUAGCGUAAUUCCGGGGCUCAACUUCGGCACUCCUACUAAAACUGUGGGACUUGAGUGCAGGAGGGGCAACUGGAAUUUCUAGUGUAGCGGUGGAAUGCGUAGAUAUUAGGAAGAACACCGGUGGCGAAGGCGAGUUGCUGGACUGUAACUGACACUGAGGUACGAAAGCGUGGGGAGCAAACAGGAUUAGAUACCCCGGUAGUC